UACGGAGGGAGCUAGCGUUGUUCGGAAUUACUGGGCGUAAAGCGCACGUAGGCGGCUUUGUAAGUUAGGGGUGAAAGCCCGGAGCUCAACUCCGGAAUUGCCUUUAAGACUGCAUCGCUAGAAUCGUGGAGAGGUGAGUGGAAUUCCGAGUGUAGAGGUGAAAUUCGUAGAUAUUCGGAAGAACACCAGUGGCGAAGGCGACUCACUGGACACGUAUUGACGCUGAGGUGCGAAAGCGUGGGGAGCAAACAGG
rnacentral:rRNA from 1 species